GGACUACUGGGGUAUCUAAUCCUGUUUGAUCCCCACGCUUUCGAGCCUAAGUGUCAAUGUUGGGCCAGGUUCCCGCCUUCGCCACCGGAGUUCCACCUAAUAUCUACGUAUUUCACCACUACACUAGGUAUUCUAGAACCCUCUCCCACAUUCAAGUCUUGCAGUAUCAAAAGCACUUCCAGGGUUAAGCCCUGGGCUUUCACUCCUGACUUACAAGACCACCCGCGCUCGCUUUACGCCCAAUGAUUCCGAGCAACGCUUGCACCCUUCGUAUUACCGCGGCUGCUGGCAC
rnacentral:rRNA from 1 species